rnacentral:rRNA from 1 species
GAUGAACGCUGGCGGCGUGCCUAAUACAUGCAAGUCGAGCGAACAGACGAGGAGCUUGCUCCUCUGACGUUAGCGGCGGACGGGUGAGUAACACGUGGAUAACCUACCUAUAAGACUGGGAUAACUUCGGGAAACCGGAGCUAAUACCGGAUAAUAUAUUGAACCGCAUGGUUCAAUAGUGAAAGACGGUCUUGCUGUCACUUAUAGAUGGAUCCGCGCUGCAUUAGCUAGUUGGUAAGGUAACGGCUUACCAAGGCAACGAUGCGUAGCCGACCUGAGAGGGUGAUCGGCCACACUGGAACUGAGACACGGUCCAGACUCCUACGGGAGGCAGCAGUAGGGAAUCUUCCGCAAUGGGCGAAAGCCUGACGGAGCAACGCCGCGUGAGUGAUGAAGGUCUUCGGAUCGUAAAACUCUGUUAUUAGGGAAGAACAAAUGUGUAAGUAACUAUGCACGUCUUGACGGCACCUAAUCAGAAAGCCACGGCUAACUACGUG